AUUGAACGCUGGCGGCAUGCCUUACACAUGCAAGUCGAACGGCAGCACGGGAGCAAUCCUGGUGGCGAGUGGCGAACGGGUGAGUAAUAUAUCGGAACGUGCCCAGUCGUGGGGAUAACGUAGCGAAAGCUACGCUAAUACCGCAUACGAUCUAUGGAUGAAAGCGGGGGAUCGCAAGACCUCGCGCGAUUGGAGCGGCCGAUAUCAGAUUAGGUAGUUGGUGAGGUAAAGGCUCACCAAGCCGACGAUCUGUAGCUGGUCUGAGAGGACGACCAGCCACACUGGGACUGAGACACGGCCCAGACUCCUACGGGAGGCAGCAGUGGGGAAUUUUGGACAAUGGGCGCAAGCCUGAUCCAGCAAUGCCGCGUGCAGGAUGAAGGCCUUCGGUGUAAC
rnacentral:rRNA from 1 species